GCCCGAGGUUAUGUUGGAUUUGUUCUUUUGUAAUCUUAUAAUUAAUCCUGUAUGUCGCUGUAAUAAAAGAAAUAUUACUGGAAGCAGUGGUUUGUGUGCUAAACCCCUUUUACUGAGCAUUAAAUCUAUGGAUGAUUUCAACUCAGAAAGCGGGAUUGUGAAUUCAAAUGCCCACAUAGAAAUUGGUUAAUUGUUUUCACCUGUAUAGAGGUGCUAUAUUGAACCAUCGCACUGGGAGAUUUCGGCACAAGAUCGGCAGAAGUAGAGGUUUACAGUGAAUAAAAAGUGCAAGCCUUUGAAGAGCAGAGGCGAGUCGAACUCGACGCAAGAUGAGUUAAAGGCCCGACCACCUGCGGUCAUAAACUACAAUUUUGUCGGAAGUGUGCAGACCUGCGGUGAAUGUGGAUGUUCAUUCACUGCAAAAAUAGGCUACGUCAGCCACCUGAGAGGUCACGAUCAUCGUUCUCACUAGCCAGUGAAUACUCAGUCGCCGAGGCCGAAACCGGCUAGGACAGGAUGAUCAGAGAUCUCGACGAAAACGCAAGCAAGCAACCAUCAGCUUCAUCACAGUGAGAUUGGUGAGACACAGAGCCAACAUGGUUACGAACGAAGUCAAAAGGGUAAGGAUGACAUUGUGCAGUAUUCAGGUACAAUAUAGGUGCUUAGUGAAGUUAGUUAUUAACACUGAGUUGUAUAAUGACAUUAGGUGAAUAUAUACUAGGUAUUAUUACUAUUUUGGAUAGUCUAAUGACACUAAAAGGUAUUUUAUUUCUAAUGAUGUAUGAGUAUAUAAUGCCUAUAUAUGGCAUGAGAUAACAAUAAAAUGUUAUGGAUUGGUAUCACAGAGGUUAUUGCCAUGAUGAAUUGAUAGCGAAGAUGAGAGGAAGAAACUGAUAGCGGGCUAGAAUUGUAGAUUGGCCCAUGACGGUUAUCAGAAGAGGCUUUUACCAAGCACCACACUUAUUGAGAUAUAGCUCUAUUUCUAUAUUCCGGUCUCUAAUUCAGAAUAGGUGGUAAUUUAUAAUAGGUGGAUGUGCAUAUAAAUUAUUUUAGAUAAAAGACUGAAGUUAGUUUUUGAUUUGACAACAAAGAAAUUAUUUAUAAACUUUUGUAUAUGAAAAAAAAAUGUUAAUUGAAGAUAUUGAAUGGUAUAUUCUACAUAGGUAGGUACAUGCAUUUAGUUUCAUAUCAUUGUUAUAUUGGAAAUUAUCAAUCUGGAUACUUAGAGAGAAGCACAUACAAACAAUAAUGAAUUAAUGAAAUUACACACAGUAUAUAUUCGAAAUUUGAAAUCACACAGGUAGUUUCACAUCUAUUUCAUAACAUUUAUUUAAAGGUCAUGCAUCUCAACAAUCCAAUUCAUUAGAUUAUGUAAUUCAUUCUGAAGCCUGAAUUUUGUAUAUGAGCAAGGUUUAUAUAAUUUAAAAAUGAAAAACAGAUGUGCAGAAUUUUUGGAAAUUGUCCAGGCUUACCUCACGCUUCGCAUACAAAUCAAGGAAGUUUACAUUAAUGAUAUUAAUAUUUCAAAAUGUAAAAGAGACUUGUACUAUUAAUGGUGUCACAAUUAUUUUACAUCAAUUUACCAAAGAAUUAAGUUUGAAAAUAUAAGUAACAAUUUCAAAGCAUCAUUAUUAUCAUUCAGGGAACAUGAUGCAUGGUCGCAUUGUGGAUACUGACAUUGCAUAUUAAAAUGAAAGGGUUAAGAUCUCCUUGUAGGUAUUUAAAAGAAAGUGAAUAGUUAGUUCACUCUAUUUGGAAUUCUUGAACAUCUACUUCAUACCUUCGAAUUGUUGACAAGUGGUAUUUAUAUUUAAACCUUAUUGCACAAAAUAGGUAUACACCAGUGUUCAAAUUUGUUUUUCUAAAUUUAUAAAUUUAAUACAGGUCUUGUCUAAUGACUCUAGUGAAAGCGUUUGUUGUACGGGAUUGGCUAAACAAGAACAGAUUACUUUUCGGUGUUGACACAAUAUUUAUUGUCUAAUAAUAUUGCAUAGUAUUCAGUUAUAUUUUUAAAAUUUGACUAGGUAUGCGAAGUUGAAAUAGUACAGUUAUACAUCUGUAAUACCAUGGAUUGCGAUGAAAAAUGAUUAUGAUUACAAUCCAGUAAUAAACCACAAAUGAAACUAUGAAUUAUUGUUGCUAUGAAAUACAAUUUAUUUGUGGCUUUAUGGUUUCAUUUGCAUAAAAACUUAACAGCUGGUGAUGCCUAAUUAAGUUAAUCAAAUGGACGGAUCCUAGAGGUCAUAAAUUGUGGAAUUUGGGUUGUUAAGAGGUGGGUAAUGGUCAGGAAUAGUGUCGGUCGAAUGCAAAAGCAGAUUACUUGUGUAUACAUUAUCAAUUAUAAGAGGGUCCAUUUAUAAAAUUAAAAUGUUGGCAAGAGCAGUGCCUGUUUGAAAAAAAAAACAAGACUUAAAGAAUUCUCAUUGAAAAUUGACUUAAAGAGUAAGGUCGAUGAGGGGGUACAAAUAAUGUCACAAGUUUUAGUGCAGGGUUUUAGUAUGGUUUUGUGCAAAAGUCUGUGACUGACUUAAACAAAAGACUCAACACCAGAAUAAGUUGAAUGAACGAAUCUAAAAGUAUAUAACAUUCAAAUUUAAAGAAGCCUUAUAAAGUAGGCUGUGUAGAAGUAACUUGGAGUUAAUUUUUAUUUUACAUUUCUUCAAUUCAUUAAACUUUGAAAGUAUCCUUAAAAUUUGGUUUAUUGUUAGGUUUAACACAUGGUACAUUUAUGAUUUUAUGACGAAGACACAGUAAUGACAAGAGAAAUAGGUUGGUGAUAUUAACCAUGUGAACCAUGAUUCAUAAACACAACAUUUAUGGUUGCAGUUUUACAGCCAUAGCCGAUUGGCUCUAACUAUUAAAAAAAAGGUGUAUAAAUAUAUUGGAAUUUAAUUACUUCCAAUAGUUUCAAUAAUAUAGAAGGUGGGGUAAUGACGCUAGUAUUUGCUACGGUGUACUCGGUGUAGUAUACGCUUGUACCUAUUUGGAGCCUUUUCUUUCCGGGUGCAUGUGACCCCGAGGUUUAGUGUUGCGUUUAUUACCAUCCCUGUGGCUGAAUAUUACUAUGGUGAAAUGUUGCACGAAGUUUAGGACGAAACAUCAGGACCAUCAGGUUAUUGAAUAAAUAUCUGUUUAUAUAAAUUCAACAAAAUAAAACAUGAUUUAAAUGUAAUCUUCUCAAAGUUGAUAAAUUGAUGAAUAUUUAUUAUUUUAUUUUAUUAAUGUUGAGGAUUUUUGAUGAAGAUAAUGAUUGAUAUCCAUGACGACAUUGACGUCUAAUUACAAUUUUAGUAACGAUGAGUAGGUGUCUAAUACAAAUACUUUAUUUAUAACACUAAGGAAGAUCUUAGGUUACAGAGGUCCGAUAAUGAUGAUGAUGUAGGUAUAUGACUGAACAUGUCUACUAGUUAAGUAAGUGUCGAUGUCGGCGACAAUGUUUGCUCCAUGACUAUGACAGGGUCAAUAACUGGCCAUAUCGAUUAUAAAAAACGGAGCUGGAUGAUUUCGAUGACAAUGUCGGCGAUAAAGCUUGACUGACCACUUUGAUGACGAUAUAUAGAUGACGUUUAUAGUAAGAUUAAUUGAUGAUGGUAAUGAUUGACUGAUUCCAUGUGUAUAAUCAAUGAUUAAAUUGUUGACGAGGACUGAGACUAAAAUGAUCGUUGCUACUGCCAAUAAUUAUAACAUUUGUUUUUAUUUUUUUUAUGUUACAACGCUGGUAACCUGGCUGAAUGGAUGAAGUUGAUAAUGAGCGAGGGCUUCGCAGCAAGAGCUGACUGAAGUAAAGGAGGUUAAACUGUUAAGACGGUGCUGCCAGCAGUGGGCAGGGCCCAAGCUGCCGAUGGACAGGGCCACAGAGCGAGGAACCGACAUACAUACGUGCCGUGUCCAAGAUUACUGCCUUCUGCAUCUGAUCCUUGAUCCAGCGACCAGCGAGAGUAUCUACAGGUGUUGUUUUGGACUCUUAGCUGACAAGAUUGCUAUUAUAUUAAUAUUAUGAAUCUAGAAUAUAACUUUUGAGUUUUGGCAGACUGUCUAGUGCAGGCCGUAAUGGCAGACUGUCUAGAGCAGGCCAUGACUGUUUAUUAUGUUAGUUUAUGCUUUGGCAAAGUUAGGUUCUUGUAAUAUGGGCCUUGUUGUUUGAUCCAAAUAAAUAUAUAUACAUAUUAGUUUAUACUUUGACAAACUGUCCAGCGCAGGCCUUGAAGGCAGACUGUCUGGGGCAGGUCGUGAUUGUUUAUGAUGAUUUAUACUUAGGCAGACUGUCUAGAACAGGCUUUGAUAGUAGCCUGUCUUCUAGAGCAGGCCAUAACAAAUUAAUUAAAAUAAUUAAUUAGGUAUGAAUGUGCAGACUGUCUAGAGCAAGCUUUGAUAACAGCCUGUCUUCUAGAGCAGGCCAAAACAAAUUAAUUCAAAUAAUUAAUUAGGUAUGAAUGUGCAGACUGUCUAGAGCAAGCUUUGAUAACAGCCUGUCUUCUAGAGCAGGCCAAAACAAAUUAAUUCAAAUAAUUAAUUAGGUAUGAAUGUGCAGACUGUCUAGAGCAAGCUUUGAUAACAGCCUGUCUUCUAGAGCAGGCCAAAACAAAUUAAUUCAAAUAAUUAAUUAGGUAUGAAUGUGCAGACUGUCUAGAACAGGCUUUGAUAGCAGACUGUCUUCUAGAGCAGGCCGUGAUGGCAGACUGUCUAGACAACUCAAGUCUAGAGCAGGCCAUAACAAUUUAUACUUUGGAAUGAUAUCUAGAGCAGGCCUUAAGGGCAGACUGUGAAUGUUUAUGAUGAAUUAUACUUUGUCAAACUAUAGAGUAAGCCUAAAUGGCAGACUGUGAUUGUUUAUGAUAAAUUAUACUUUGCCAAACUAUUUAGAGCAGGCCUAAAUGGCAGACUGAUUGUUUUGAUGAAUUAUGUUUUGCAAAUCAUUUAAAGCAGGUCUUAAUACUGUGAUUGUUUAUGAUGAAUUAUGUUUUGCCAAACUAUUUAGAGCAGGCCUAAAUGGCAGACUGAUUGUUUUGAUGAAUUAUGUUUUGCAAAUCAUUUAAAGCAGGUCUUAAUACUGUGAUUGUUUAUGAUGAAUUAUGUUUUGCCAAACUAUUUAGAGCAGGCCUAAAUGGCAGACUGAUUGUUUUGAUGAAUUAUGUUUUGCAAAUUAUUUAAAGCAGGUCUUAAUACUGUGAUUGUUUAUGAUGAAUUAUGUUUUGCCAAACUAUUUAGAGCAGGCCUAAAUGGCAGACUGAUUGUUUUGAUGAAUUAUGUUUUGCAAAUCAUUUAAAGCAGGUCUUAAUACUGUGAUUGUUUAUGAUGAAUUAUGUUUUGCUAAACUAUUUAGAGCAGGCCUUAUAAGGGUAGACUGUCAUUGUUUAUGACGUUUUAUACUUUGCUAUACUGUUUAGAGCAGGCCUUGAGGGCAGAUUGUGAAUGUUAAUGUUGGCUUAUACUUUGGCAGAUGUCUAGACCAGACCAAGACUGUAAGUUAGUUCAUAUGUAUUGAAAGAAGGCUAUUAAUGCUAUCAGGUGCUGGUUGUAUUAAAUUACUGUUUAGUGUUUAUAUGAUCUCAGGUUAUAGCAUGUGAAGAUUGUGAAGUGUGAAGACUGAUUUCUCAAUAAGGUUAAUAUAUGCAACUAGUCAUUGGUUGUGUGAUUGACUAAUAAAAGUCUAUAGUCAGAAGUUUACAAAAACUGUUCUUAUGAAUGUUUGUUUGAUAUCGAUAAAAUUGUUAUGAUAUAUUGCUGUUGUUAUUAAUGUACAAUUGUUUUUAGUGAGAGGACUCACUAUAAAUAAAAGGACGGCCGAGUUGUAAGCAUCACAAUAGUUGAUAUCCUGUAUGUUACUUUAUACUGAUAAUAAUCACAUGUAGUAUGCACCUGACUUUAUACUUUUUGGUUAUUGUAUCUAUGGUCAUGUUUGUUGAGGGAGAACUGUCAGAUUUUGGCGGCGGUUCAUUGCCCGAGGUUAUGUUGGAUUUGUUCUUUUGUAAUCUUAUAAUUAAUCCUGUAUGUCGCUGUAAUAAAAGAAAUAUUACUGGAA